UUGGUGCCCCCAAAGCAAGAGGAAUAAAACAACCUGCUUUAAUUCAAUAAACAAAUAUCUAGACCCCUAAAAGAAUUUUGAAAGGAUUUUACCAAAAGUCCAAGACUAGUAACUUUAUUACAGGCAUAAAAGGGGAUCUCCGGAUGUCCUAAGUUGGUUAAAAAGAUAAUGAAAUGUCUUCACAAAUGUACUGACAAUAACAAACCCAUUAAGGACACAAUUGAAGAAGGAAUAUGUGCAAGAAAAUAGAGGCCAGGGGAAGACACAAAUCAACUAUUACAGGUAGUUUUUUGUUUGUUUUUAAAUCUAGGAGCUUGAAAAGGAGUACUGUAUUUGUUACUGUGACUC
rnacentral:lncRNA from 1 species